UGAUCGCAAGUCGAAGGGAAAGCUGCCUGACCGCGAGCGAAGGCAUGUCAGCAAGCGCGAGCGAGCCCGAUCGGCGAUUCGACCGAAAAGAAGUCCGGUGCCAGCGAGUGAGCGAGCCAUGCCAACGCGCGAGUUGAAGUCCGGCCACUGACCGCGAGCGAGCCCUGGCGGCGAUAGGGCGGCGAUCGACCGAGAAAGAGGGAUUAGAAGAGAGCGAGCAUGCGAGAGCGAGAAAUAGGGAGCGAGCGAGGUCACCUCAGAUCAGCAGCACUCCACGCCUAGCUUCCAGUUCAAAUCUACUCCCUAACCUCUUUUUUAACUUGAUCGAAGGACCUCGAGUGAGACCUCGGCUCCACGCCUCCCAG
rnacentral:lncRNA from 1 species